rnacentral:rRNA from 1 species
CCUACGGGAGGCUGCAGUGGGGAAUAUUGCACAAUGGGGGAAACCCUGAUGCAGCGACGCCGCGUGAGUGAAGAAGUAAUUCGUUACGUAAAGCUCUAUCAGCAGGGAAGAAAUACUGACCUUACGGUCAGCAGACGGUACCUGAGUAAGAAGCACCGGCUAACUACGUGCCAGCAGCCGCGGUAAUACGUAGGGGGCAAGCGUUAUCCGGAUUUACUGGGUGUAAAGGGAGCGUAGACGGUGCACCAAGUCUGGAGUGAAAUGCCGCAGCUUAACUGCGGAACUGCUUUGGAAGCUGGCGAACUAGAGUGCGGGAGGGGUAAGCGGAAUUCCUAGUGUAGCGGUGAAAUGCGUAGAUAUUAGGAGGAACACCGGUGGCGAAGGCGGCUUACUGGACCGUAACUGACGUUGAGGCUCGAAAGCGUGGGGAGCAAACAGGAUUAGAUACCCGAGUAGUC